rnacentral:lncRNA from 10 species
GGAGAAUUGCGUCAUUUAAAGCCUAGUUAACGCAUUUACUAAACGCAGACGAAAAUGGAAAGAUUAAUUGGGAGUGGUAGGAUGAAACAAUUUGGAGAAGAUAGAAGUUUGAAGUGGAAAACUGGAAGACAGAAGUACGGGAAGGCGAAGAAAAGAAUAGAGAAGAUAGGGAAAUUAGAAGAUAAAAACAUACUUUUAGAAGAAAAAAGAUAAAUUUAAACCUGAAAAGUAGGAAGCAGAAGAAAAAAGACAAGCUAGGAAACAAAAAGCUAAGGGCAAAAUGUACAAACUUAGAAGAAAAUUGGAAGAUAGAAACAAGAUAGAAAAUGAAAAUAUUGUCAAGAGUUUCAGAUAGAAAAUGAAAAACAAGCUAAGACAAGUAUUGGAGAAGUAUAGAAGAUAGAAAAAUAUAAAGCCAAAAAUUGGAUAAAAUAGCACUGAAAAAAUGAGGAAAUUAUUGGUAACCAAUUUAUUUUAAAAGCCCAUCAAUUUAAUUUCUGGUGGUGCAGAAGUUAGAAGAAUUUGGAAGGCCUUAAAUAUAGUAGCUUAGUUUGAAAAAUGUGAAGGACUUUCGUAACGGAAGUAAUUCAAGAUCAAGAGUAAUUACCAACUUAAUGUUUUUGCAUUGGACUUUGAGUUAAGAUUAUUUUUUAAAUCCUGAGGACUAGCAUUAAUUGACAGCUGACCCAGGUGCUACACAGAAGUGGAUUCAGUGAAUCUAGGAAGACAGCAGCAGACAGGAUUCCAGGAACCAGUGUUUGAUGAAGCUAGGACUGAGGAGCAAGCGAGCAAGCAGCAGUUCGUGGUGAAGAUAGGAAAAGAGUCCAGGAGCCAGUGCGAUUUGGUGAAGGAAGCUAGGAAGAAGGAAGGAGCGCUAACGAUUUGGUGGUGAAGCUAGGAAAAAGGAUUCCAGGAAGGAGCGAGUGCAAUUUGGUGAUGAAGGUAGCAGGCGGCUUGGCUUGGCAACCACACGGAGGAGGCGAGCAGGCGUUGUGCGUAGAGGAUCCUAGACCAGCAUGCCAGUGUGCCAAGGCCACAGGGAAAGCGAGUGGUUGGUAAAAAUCCGUGAGGUCGGCAAUAUGUUGUUUUUCUGGAACUUACUUAUGGUAACCUUUUAUUUAUUUUCUAAUAUAAUGGGGGAGUUUCGUACUGAGGUGUAAAGGGAUUUAUAUGGGGACGUAGGCCGAUUUCCGGGUGUUGUAGGUUUCUCUUUUUCAGGCUUAUACUCAUGAAUCUUGUCUGAAGCUUUUGAGGGCAGACUGCCAAGUCCUGGAGAAAUAGUAGAUGGCAAGUUUGUGGGUUUUUUUUUUUUACACGAAUUUGAGG